rnacentral:lncRNA from 10 species
UCUGUAGGAGUGGCAGAACAGUAAGAGAAAUGACAAAGCAAGAGGAACCUAAUACUCUUCCUCAUUGGCCUUCCUGUCUCCAUCUUUAUUCCUUCCAGCUCAUUCUCUACAUGACACUGUGAAUGCCAAACUGUCUGGAGGCUGCCAUGAGCGGCCAAUUUGUGAUCUCUGCUUUACCUGAAUUAUUUCCGUGAAUUGUGACAUCAACCUCGCCAGAUCUUCCUGCUGUUAAACCCGUCCUGGGGCAGCUCUUGCCUGAUGGGCUACCUGAGGAACCCACAGGAAAUCAAGGGAGGUGCCUGCAAAGUUGCCGUGGGGUCACAGCCUGCCCUUUGGAAGGGGCUGUUUCUGGGCUGCUGUGACUUCCUGCCAUUAUUUCCUCUCUGUUCUCCCUCUGGAAUGAAUAAAGUACUUCUGAAAAACCAUC